CUUUGGGCUUCAAUUUGCAUGGAAUCCCUCUGUCCCAUCACUCUCUGCCCAUGUGGGUCCUGGGAGCUACAGGGCGUCUCUGAUUGGCUGCAUGGAGUUGCUCAUUAUUUCAAGAUCUCUGCAGUCUCCCUGUGUGUGUUGAUCAGAGAUGUAAUUCAUUCACAUUCACUGUAAUUAUGAUAGGUGAGGACUUAGUAUGUCCACUUUGUUAAUUCUCCUGUGAUUGUUCUGGUGUUCCUGGUACCCCUCUUCCUCUGGCUACAAGAGGGAAUUAUUCUAACUAUAGAUUUUUAACAUACUCCUGCCUUUAAGCUUUAUGCUAGAGGUUAAAUGUCCAUCACCAUCAUGAAACCAGACUUCGGAGCUUCUCUACAUUUUGCUUUACUGUGAGUUUGUACUUUCAUUCUUUUUGUGCAAUAUUUAACCUGGAGACCUCCACUCAACAUUUCUUGAAAGGCAGAUAGAGUGGGGAUAAGGUCCCUCCACAGUUAUUUCUCUGGAAUUCCCCUCUCCCCUUCACUCCUGAAGGAAAGUCUUGUUUGGCUUUGUAUUUCUGUAGCACUUUGAAUAAAGCAUCCCAGUCUUUCCUCCCUGCAAGAUUCCUGCA